AGGCCUAAUGGCUGUUAAACCAAAAGUCCGACUUGCAAUCAGACAAUUACUAGACC
rnacentral:tRNA from 1 species